rnacentral:rRNA from 1 species
GACAGAGGGUGCAAACGUUGCUCGGAAUUACUGGGCGUAAAGCGCGUGUAGGUGGUCACGCAAGUCAGGUGUGAAAGCCCAGGGCUCAACCCUGGAAGUGCACAUGAUACUACGUGGCUGGAGUACUGAAGAGGAGAGCGGAAUUCCCGGUGUAGAGGUGAAAUUCGUAGAUAUCGGGAUGAACACCAGUGGCGAAGGCGGCUCUCUGGGCAGAUACUGACACUGAGACGCGAAAGCGUGGGUAGCAAACAGG